UAAUUAAUUAUAAAAAAUUAUCUUUGAUUUAAAUUUUAAAUAUGAUUGAGAUAAUUAUAAAAGAUUUAACAAAUCCUAUCCUAUCUUGUGGGAGAAACAUAUAACAUAUAAUAAAUUAGGGAAGAUUUGAAUUUUAAAUAAAAGAUAAUGAAAAAUAUUAUAUAUAGAAAAAGAUUUUAAUUAAUUAUAAGAAAUUAUCUUUGAUUUAAAUUUUAAAUAUGAUUGAGAAAAUUUUGCUAUCUGAAGGAAAAUUUUUAGGAAAGUUUAAGACUUUAAAAUCCCUCCCAAUGUAUAUUUUUUAAGAUAUAAAAAGAAAACCUAUUACUGUUCUUUGGUAUUGGCAUCAGUGUGUCUCGAGGCUUAGAGCAAGUGAGCAAUAUCUCCAAGGAUCACGUCUUGCACGUCUUGCACAUCUUGCACUCUAACAAUCAGUUUUUAGUGCUUCCAUGGCUGAAAGUAGUGGUCAAGUUCAAAACAAGCAACAAGAACAAAAUAAGAGAAAAGACCCUGGAUGGAAAUAUAAUUUCUUGAGUGACCCAAAUGACACCAAUACUGUAACUUGUUCCUUUUGUAACAAAUCUACAAAAGGAGGGAUUCAUAGAGCUAAGUUGCAUCAAGUUGGAGGUAAUAGGAAUGCUGCUAAAUGUUUGAAGUGUCCUGAUAAUGUGAGGAAAGAGUUGCAAGAUUACAUGGACAAAAAAAAGGUAGAAAAAGAGACAUAUGAUAAUCCAAUUAUAAAUGUUGUGGAUAUAAGUAUGCAUGGUGAAGAAGAGGAGGAGGAGGAGGAGUUGUAUGGAAAGAAAGGAAAAAAUGUUAUGCUUACAUCAAAGAAGCCUAGACAAAAAGGUUCCAUGGAUUCUUUUAUGAGGAAACCAGAGCAAGUUAUUCAAUUACGAAAACAAGGAAAGUUGCGAGAUGGAAAUAUAACUGAUAAAUUUGAUAAGGAGAGAAGAGCUAUGGUUUGUCAAUACAUUGGUCGAUUUUUCUACCAAGCUGGCAUUCCAUUUAAUGUUGCUAACAUGGAUUCCUUUAAAAUUAUGAUUGAAGCUAUUGGACAAUAUGGUCUAAAUCUAAAACCCCCAAGUUACUAUGAGUUGAGGGUGCCAAUUUUGAAGAAAGAAGUUGAACUUACAAAUGAUAUGAUGAAAAAUCAUAGAGAUAUGUGGAAAAGAAAAGGCUGUUCCAUUAUGCUUGAUGGGUGGACUAGCCGAACAAAUAGAAGCUUGAUAAAUUUUUUAGUGAAUUGCCCAGUUGGCACAAUGUUUAUAAAAUCUGUUGAUGCAUCAUCAUAUGUUAAAACAGCAGAAAGAUUGUUCAAUUUGAUUGAUGAUUUUGUUGACCAUGUUGGGGAAGAGAAUAUUGUUCAAAUAGUGACGGAUAAUGGGUCUAACUUUAAAGCUGCUGGUAAAUUAUUAGAAAUGAAAAGGUUGAAUCUUUUUUGGACACCAUGUGCAGCACAUUGUGUAGAUCUUAUAUUAGAAGACAUUGGAAAAAUUUCUAGGGUAUCAAAGACUUUGGCAAGAGCAAUCAAUUUGACAGGGUAUAUAUAUAACCACGUAGGACUUCUAAAUAUGAUGAGAGAGUUCACUAAGCAAAAGGAGUUGGUGAGGCCUGGCAAAACUAGAUUCUGUACUUCAUAUCUUACUCUUAAAAGCAUUCAUCAACAGAAAACUGCAUUGAGGACUAUGUUUACUUCAGAGAAGUGGGAAUCAAGUAAGUGGUCAAGAGAACCUAAAGGAAAGUGUGCUUAUGCCUUCUUUUUGGAAUACUGUUUCUUAUAUAUUAAAAGUUAUGGGACCUCUUGUUCGAGUGCUAAGACUUGUAGAUAAUGAAAAAAAACCAGCCAUGGGUUAUAUAUAUGAAGCAAUGGAUAGAGCCAAAGAGGCAAUUCAAAAGGCAUUUGAUAAUAAUGAAGAUAAGUAUAGAGAGAUUUUUCAUAUUAUUGAUGAAAGGUGGAAUUGCCAACUUCAUCAACCUCUACAUGCUGCAGCUCAUCUCCUAAAUCCAGAAUAUUAUUAUGACAACCCAGAUAUAGAGUUUGAUGAAGAAAUCACUAGGGGCCUAAUAUCUUGCAUAGGGAGACUUGUGAAAGACCCAACCGCCCAAGAGAAGAUCAUGAAUGAAUUGACAAUAUAUAAAAGAGCAGAGGGACUUUUUGGGGUUGAUUUGGCCAUUAGAACAAGGAAAACAAGAGCUCCAGCGGAAUGGUGGGCUUCUUAUGGAAGCUCUAGCCCUAAUUUACAACAUUUGGCAAUCAGAAUACUAAGCCUUACUUGUAGUGCAUCAGGCUGUGAACGUAAUUGGAGUGUGUUUGAACAGAUUCAUACAAAAAAGCGGAACAAGCUUGCUCAAGAUAGACUCAAUGAUUUGGUCUUUGUGAAAUACAAUCAAGCACUGAAAAAUAGAUAUGAUAGGCAAGAUGUAGAUCCCAUUUCCUUGGCGGAUAUUGAUGAAAGUAAUGAAUGGCUACUUGGUAGUAUGAUGGAUGUCGAUGAGGACGCAGCAGAUGAGCGUGUUUUUGGUGAUGAUGAGAAUGAAGAGUUAACAUGGGGGGCUGUUGCAUCAGCAGCAGGUGUUGGAGAACCAAUUAAACAAACAAGAAGCCAAAGCCAAGCUAAAGGAAAAAAAGCUAGCUCAUCUAGAGCUAAAGGAAAACAACCGAUUACCAACAUUGAGGAACUUGCAAAUUUUGAUUCAGAUGAGUUAGAGGAAGACGAUGAAAGAUAUAAAUCCAACAAUGAAGGAGGAGAAAGUCCUGAGCUUGCCACAUCUGAAUCUGAUUCAGAUUUCUAGUUUGAUUUUUUUAUAGGCCUCAAUAUUGUUUUUUCAUAUUUUAAAGACAUUUUAUGCACUUGAUUGAUUAUUGGAAUAGUUUAUAUUAUUUUGUUGUAAUUUUGUAGAAGUUUAUGAUUGAAGUAGAUUUAUAUUUAUCACUUUAUCUAUGGUUUGUUGUCUAUAAUCUAUGUAUUAUGCAUUUUAUCUAUAGUAGCGCCUUGCUUCACUCAGGCGUGCGCCUUUGUAGCGCCUUGCGCCUAAGGCGUUUUACCAACUUUGUGCCUUGAGUGCGCCUUUCGCCUUUAACA